UACGAAGGGGGCUAGCGUUGUUCGGAAUUACUGGGCGUAAAGCGCACGUAGGCGGAUGUUUAAGUCGGGGGUGAAAUCCCAGGGCUCAACCCUGGAACUGCCUUCGAUACUGGACGUCUCGAGUCCGAGAGAGGUGAGUGGAAUUCCGAGUGUAGAGGUGAAAUUCGUAGAUAUUCGGAAGAACACCAGUGGCGAAGGCGGCUCACUGGCUCGGAACUGACGCUGAGGUGCGAAAGCGUGGGGAGCAAACAGG
rnacentral:rRNA from 1 species